GUUUAUAUUUUCUCUAUGUAUGUUUAUAUUUUCUCUAUGCAUGUUUGUUUUCUCUAUGCAUGUUUAUGUUUUCUCUAUGCAUGUUUAUGUUUUCUCUAUGCAUGUUUAUAUUUCUCUCUAUGUAUGUUUAUGUUUUCUCUAUGCAUGUUUAUGUUUUCUCUAUGCAUGUUUAUAUUUUCUCUAUGCAUGUUUAUGUUUUCUCUAUGCAUGUUUAUGUUUUCUCUAUGCAUGUUUAUAUUUUCUCUAUGCAUGUUUGUUUUCUCUAUGCAUGUUUAUAUUUUCUCUAUGCAUGUUUAUAUUUUCUCUAUGCAUGUUAAUUUUAUAUAUGCAUGUUUAUGGUUUCUCUAUACCUGUUUAUAUUUUCUCUAUGCAUGUUUGUUUUCUCUAUGCAUGUUUAUAUUUUCUCUAUGCAUGUUUAUAUUUUCUCGAUGCAUGUUUAUAUUUUCUCUAUGCAUGUUUAUGUUUUCUCUAUGCAUGUUUAUGUUUUCUCUAUGCAUGUU
ensembl:lncRNA